GCCAGACUCCUACGGGAGGCAGCAGUGGGGAAUAUUGCACAAUGGGGGGAACCCUGAUGCAGCGACGCCGCGUGGGUGAAGGAGUAUUUCGGUAUGUAAAGCCCUAUCAGCAGGGAAGAACAAUGACGGUACCUGACUAAGAAGCACCGGCUAAAUACGUGCCAGCAGCCGCGGUAAUACGUAUGGUGCAAGCGUUAUCCGGAUUUACUGGGUGUAAAGGGAGCGUAGACGGCCAGACAAGUCUGAAGUGAAAAUCCAGCGCUUAACGUUGGAAGUGCUUUGGAAACUGCCGGGCUAGAGUGCAGGAGGGGCAGGCGGAAUUCCUGGUGUAGCGGUGAAAUGCGUAGAUAUCAGGAGGAACACCGGUGGCGAAGGCGGCCUGCUGGACUGCAACUGACGUUGAGGCCCGAAAGCGUGGGGAGCAAACAGGAUUAGAUACCCGAGUA
rnacentral:rRNA from 1 species